rnacentral:tRNA from 1 species
GGCCUCGUAGCUCAAUUGGAUAGAGCAGUUCCGUCCUAAGGAAAAGGUUGUGAGUUCGACUCUCGCCGAGGCUACCA